rnacentral:lncRNA from 1 species
UUCUGAUGAGACAGUGGUGGUGGCAGUACGGGGUUUACUUACUACAAACACUAAUCAAGCAGAGAUCAUCUCUAGCCACUCUUGGGAUCCCCACGUCCCUGCCCUUGAGAGCCCAGAAAGGAUACCCAGGGCCUUGCUGAGACUAUAUGCCUCCUCUCUCUGAGGACCUGAGGAAUGUCUAAACUCCUCUGAGUAAUAAACUUUGGGGGCUUGAGUAAGACUACCUCCAGAACCGGAUGCCACCAGAGAAAAAAAAAGAGUGUUGGGGGGCAGGGAGGGGAGAUUGUAGACUUCGUCACAAAUCAUACACUUUUCAACUUAAAAGGAUACCCAGAGAUGAAUCAUCCACUCUAUUUUUAAAAUGGGAAAUGGGAGCCCAGAGAGGGGAAGUGACAAGCCUGAGAUCACACAUAGAGCAGAAGAUCAAGCUGUCAGGUGUUCUCCCCCAGGAUCCUCUGGGAAACACUUGGCUGGUCACACGACCUGGGUCUCGGAUCUCCAUAACAGAAGAGAUCUCUCAGAGCCCUGUGAAGGCUCAAGGCUGCUUACUGGACAAGUACGUGACUCUGUAACAAGGGUGAGACAAAGCUGCCUCUUCAUCUUGCAUCCCUGCCGGACCACCCUCCUCUCCUGACUCUAUCAUCCAUGCCACCCUCCCUCAGCAGUAAUGGGGUUACUUAGGCUAGUUGGAGACAGGGUGGAGUGAAGAGGAGUCAGUACCUACACAAAAAAACAGUAAAAGAUUAGCAGCAAGACAUGAUGGAGCCCGCUCCACCCUGGGCUAACAGCACCAGAACUGUUGGAUAGCCUUCUCAGCACCUACACUGUUCCAGGCCCCAAACAACAGCAUGGAGGUUGCAAUUCAUUUGGAGUGACUAUCCUCUACGAGCCACGGUUGUCUACCAUGAUUGUUAUGGUUUGGAUAUGGUUUUCCCCCAAGGACUCAUUUGCUGGAGAUUUGGUCUGAAGUGUGGUGUUGAAGAUCCUGAAUCUUUAUAGGGAAAAAAAAAAUGAAGUAGCCAAUCAUGGCAGAGGAGGUAGGAGGAACCCAGCUUCAAGGCCAAACCAGGACUACAUCUUGAGCCUUUGUACUAAGAGCACUGUAAAUCCAACGUGUCAUUUCUUUUUAACUACAUUUGCCAUAAAACCACUUAUUUUACGCGGCUGUGACACUUGCGCUGCCGGUUCACCUUCUGAUUAAUAAAGCCAUUAGCACCAGCGGGCCUGACGUUCUCCGCACAAAGGCUGGGCUUCGGAUGUCUCCGUAGGACUAAUGGCUUCUCAAAGGUGAUGUGGCACACCGAAGGCUGCCUGCUGGGGCCCUCGGAAUGCAUUUCCUAAUGUGCAUCGUCGAGAUGAAUUGAUAAAUUACGUCAGUCUGGGUUAGUCAUCAUACAGAAAAAUAUCGUUAGAGACGAGGGGGGAAUGAAAGGCUGGGGGCGGGAGUAAUUUGUUUUUCAUCGUUGAUUUAUGUUAUAGAACUAUUCUUGUAGUCAAUUACCAAAGCAGAAAAUGUCAGGGGGAAAAAAAUACAAAACUCCU